AUACGUAGGGGGCGAGCGUUGUCCGGAAUGAUUGGGCGUAAAGGGCGCGUAGGCGGCGCGGUAAGUCUGGAGUGAAAGUCCUGCUUUCAAGGUGGGAAUUGCUUUGGAUACUGCCGCGCUUGAGUGCAGGAGAGGUUAUCGGAAUUCCCGGUGUAGCGGUGAAAUGCGUAGAGAUCGGGAGGAACACCAGUGGCGAAGGCGACUUACUGGACUGUAACUGACGCUGAGGCGCGAAAGUGUGGGGAGCAAACAGGAUUAGAUACCCUGGUAGUCCACACUGUAAACGAUGAAUGCUAGGUGUAGGGGGUAUCGACCCCUUCUGUGCCGCAGUCAACGCAAUAAGUAUUCCGCCUGGGGAGUACGGCCGCAAGGUUGAAACUCAAAUGAAUUGACGGGG
rnacentral:rRNA from 1 species